GAUGAACGCUAGCGGCAGGCCUAACACAUGCAAGUCGAGGGGCAGCACAGGUAGCAAUACUGGGUGGCGACCGGCGGAUGGGUGCGUAACGCGUAUGCAACCUACCAUUGAUUGGGGCAUAGCCCGAAGAAAUUCGGAUUAAUACUCCAUAAUAUUCAUCAAAGGCAUCUUUUAUGAAUUAAAGCUUUUGCGAUCAAUGAUGGGCAUGCGUGACAUUAGUUAGUUGGUGAGGUAACGGCUCACCAAAACGAUGAUGUCUAGGGGUUCUGAGAGGAUUAUCCCCCAACUGGUACUGAGACACGGACCAGACUCCUACGGGAGCAGCAGUGAGGAAUAUUGGUCAAUGGGCGCAAGCCUGAACCAGCCAUCCCGCGUGCAGGAAGACGGCCCUAUGGGUUUAAACUGCUUUUCCAGGGAAGAAACUUACGCACGUGUUGCGUGACUGACGGUACCCUGGGAAUAAGCAUCGGCUAACUCCGUG
rnacentral:rRNA from 1 species